CCCUUAGAUGUUCUGGGCCGCACGCGCGCUACACUGACGGAGUCAACGAGUUGUCCUGCAUCGGAAGGUGUGGGUAAUCUUUUGAAACUUCGUCGUGCUGGGGAUAGAUCUUUGCAAUUUUCGAUCUUGAACGAGGAAUUCCUAGUAAGCGUGAUUCAUCAGAUCGCGUUGAUUACGUCCCUGCCCUUUGUACACACCGCCCGUCGCUACUACCGAUUGAAUGGUUUAGUGAGGCCUCGGGACCGGCGCGCUCGAGUAGCAAUACACCUGCGCGCCGGGAACUUGGUCAAACUUGAUCAUUUAGAGGAAGUAAAAGUCGUANCA
rnacentral:rRNA from 1 species